UGAGGAAACCCAAAGAACUAGGGUGGGC
rnacentral:piRNA from 1 species